CUAUGAAUGUGCCACAUCUAGGUAGCUCACAUAAAUGGACUCAGAAAAUAAGUGGACUCAGAUAAUAUGUGUCCUUUUGUGUCUGGCUUAUUUCCCAUAUGUAACAUUCUCCAAGUUUAUCCAAGGUGCAGCAUGUGUCAGAAUUUCAUUCCUUUUUAAGACUGAACGACAUCCCAUUAUGGAUGAAUAGACCACACAUCAUUUAACCAAUUUGUCUGUCGAUGGACCUUUGGGUUGUUUCCACCUUUUGGCUAUGAUGAAUAGUGCUAUUUGAAUAUUGAUAUAAUCCCUGAAGCAUUUUAAACAAAGCAGAAAUAUGAUCAGAUUUUUAUUUUAGAGAAAUGACCCCUUAUAGCAGUCAGAGGCCAGCCAGGAGACAGAAUCCACACCAGUUAUUUUAAUAGAGAGGUAACAUAAAGAGUUAUUAGCCAGGUACAUGAAAAGGUAAAAAGAGGGGAGUUCCCGUCAUGGCUCAGUGGUUAACGAAUCCGACAAGGAAUCAUGAGGUUUCGGGUUCAAUCCCUGGCCUUGCUCAGUGGGUUAAGGAUCCGGCGUUGCCAUGAGCUGUGGUAUAGUUUGCAGACACGGCUCGGGUCCCGCGUUGCUGUGGCUCUGGUGUAGGCCAGCGGCUACAGCUCCGGUUUGACCCCUAGCCUGGGAACCUCCAUAUGCCGUGGGAGUGGCCCAAGAAAUGGCAAAAAAGGACAAGGGGAAAAAAAAGGUAAAAAGAGAAUAGCGUGUUAUUACAGGGGUGGGGUGGGGGGAGACUGUAGAAAGCAGCUGCUACCCCUCAGGCUGGGGAUAUAGGGAGAAGACGGUGGGGUUGCCAAGAUGCAGAAGCCUGGACAAGGAGCCUCCUGGAGUUGAAACUCACUUUGAGGAGAGAGUGCUGCUCAGUUGGUACAGGUGUCUCUAAGCUUUGGGGGGCUUGAGCAUUGAAGAGGGUGCUGUUCAGCUGGUGUCUGUCUCAGUUCAGUGGCUGGGAUGGCACCCUCUGAGAGGGCAUCGCUCAGCCGGUGCUAGUAUCAGUGGGCGUGAUGAAAGCUGUUCUGUGAGUCUUGGAAAGACUGCAAACUGGCUUCUAGUGCUGCUGCUGGAAUGAACUGGCACAGCUGGGGGAAGAAGGGAGGUGGGUGAAGCACACCAACAAAAACAGGAAGGAACCAGUCAGUCCCUCCUCCCGCCCCCAGCCCUGCAGCCUCCUUCUAGUGCCACCAUUGCCAGCGCCUGGCAGGGCUCCAUCUAGCAUAGCAGGUAGGUGGUUUGCAGAGUCCCAAUCCCAGGGUUACUAAACAGAGUACAGAAGGAUGGGUUUGAAGCCGAGAGACAAUAAGGUAAUACUAGGAUCUUCUGAUGGCAAUGGGGGGUUGAUUGGGGGCAGCAAGCCUGGCAUCAGAAAUAAAGGGCAUGUUCGGUAUAUUUUCAGUGAUAGACACUUCUUGGGGGCAACUGGUCCAGUUUGAUGUCUCUACAUUGGUAAUGGUCCUCAAUGGCCACUCUAUCCACUGAUCCUAGCUGAUUUAUCCAGGGUGACCAAUUAACCCAAGCUGAAUUCAGAUUCUCUUUCUAAUGUUUGAACUUGGGAAGAGAUACACCUAAACUCUGGGAAUCAUUAGAGCUGAGUCAAGCAAGUAUCUAGAGACACCUCUUGCUGAGGUCACUGGACCUCUCCUGGUUCCUUCCCUUCUCACGUUCAGGGUUGUUCAAUUCCAGCUCAGAUCCCAUGAGCUAACCCAGAAAACUUCCAACAAAUUCUCCCUUCUCCUUAAGCUAGCCAGAGCCCUUUCUGUUGCUUCAUAUUUUCUCCAGGCUCCCAGAACUUGCAUUCCAGGGGAGUUGAAGACAUGUAAGCAACAUCAACACUGAGGGUUGCUAAGCAUUCGAGGGGAGGGACGGAGAGUGAGCCGACAGUGUGAGCAGAGCACCUAAGCUCACGGGUGGGGCCAAAAGCGGGCAAGAAGCAGGAA
rnacentral:lncRNA from 1 species